AAAUCAGUUAUCGUUUAUUUGAUAGUACCUUACUACUUGGAUAACCGUGGUAAUUCUAGAGCUAAUACAUGCUGAAAACCCUGACUUCGGAAAGGGUGUAUUUAUUAGAUAAAAAACCAAUGCCCUUUGGGCUCUUUGGUGAUUCAUGAUAACUUAACGGAUCGCAUGGCCUUGCGCCGGCGACGGUUCAUUCAAAUUUCUGCCCUAUCAACUUUCGAUGGUAAGGUAUUGGCUUACCAUGGUUUCAACGGGUAACGGGGAAUUAGGGUUCGAUUCCGGAGAGGGAGCCUGAGAAACGGCUACCACAUCCAAGGAAGGCAGCAGGCGCGCAAAUUACCCAAUCCCGACACGGGGAGGUAGUGACAAUAAAUACUGAUACAGGGCUCUUUUGGGUCUUGUAAUCGGAAUGAGUACAAUUUAAACCUCUUAACGAGGAACAAUUGGAGGGCAAGUCUGGUGCCAGCAGCCGCGGUAAUUCCAGCUCCAAUAGCGUAUAUUAAAGUUGUUGCAGUUAAAAAGCUCGUAGUUGAAUCUUGGGCCUGGCUGGCCGGUCCGCCUCACCGCGUGUACUGGUCUGGCCGGGCCUUUCCUUCUGGAGAACCUCAUGCCCUUCAGUGGGUGUGUUGGGGAACCAGGACUUUUACUUUGAAAAAAUUAGAGUGUUCAAAGCAGGCCUUUGCUCGAAUACGUUAGCAUGGAAUAAUAGAAUAGGACGUGCGGUCCUAUUUUGUUGGUUUCUAGGACCGCCGUAAUGAUUAAUAGGGA
rnacentral:rRNA from 1 species